GAAAUGCGAUAAGUAAUGUGAAUUGCAGAAUUCAGUGAAUCAUCGAAUCUUUGAACGCACCUUGCGCUCCUUGGUAUUCCGAGGAGCAUGCCUGUUUGAGUGUCAUGGAAUUCUCAACUCUAUUUGCUUUUGUGAAUAGAGCUUGGAUUUGGAGGUUUAUUGCUGGUACUUGUGAUCGGCUCCUCUUGAAUGCAUUAGCUCGAACCUUUGCGGAUCAGCUAUCGGUGUGAUAAUUGUCUACGCCGUUGCAGUGAAGCAUAUCAAUGGGCUCGGCUUCCAAUCGUCCUUUACUGUACAAUGACUUUGACCUUUGACCUCAAAUCAGGUAGGAUUACCCGCUGAACUUAAGC
rnacentral:misc_RNA from 1 species